rnacentral:rRNA from 1 species
AGCAUAUCAAUAAGCGGAGGAAAAGAAACCAACAGGGAUUGCCCUAGUAACGGCGAGUGAAGCGGCAACAGCUCAAAUUUGAAAUCUGGCUCUCGGGCCCGAGUUGUAAUUUGUAGAGGAUACUUUUGAUGCGGUGCCUUCCGAGUUCCCUGGAACGGGACGCCAUAGAGGGUGAGAGCCCCGUCUGGUUGGAUGCCAAAUCUCUGUAAAGUUCCUUCAACGAGUCGAGUAGUUUGGGAAUGCUGCUCUAAAUGGGAGGUAUAUGUCUUCUAAAGCUAAAUACCGGCCAGAGACCGAUAGCGCACAAGUAGAGUGAUCGAAAGAUGAAAAGCACUUUGAAAAGAGAGUUAAAAAGUACGUGAAAUUGUUGAAAGGGAAGCGUUURUGACCAGACUUGGGCUUGGUUAAUCAUCUGGGGUUCUCCCCRGUGCACUUUUCCRGUCCAGGCCAGCAUCAGUUUUCCCCGGGGGAUAAAGGCGGCGGGAAUGUGGCUCUCUUCGGGGAGUGUUAUAGCCCGUCGUGUAAUACCCUGGGGGGGACUGAGGUUCGCGCAUCUGCAAGGAUGCUGGCGUAAUGGUCAUCAACGACCCGUCUUGAAACACGGACCAAGGAGUCGUCUUCGUAUGCGAGUGUUCGGGUGUCAAACCCCUACKCGUAAUGAAAGUGAACGCAGGUGAGAGCUUCGGCGCAUCAUCSACCGAUCCUGAUGUUCUCGGAUGGAUUUGAGUAAGARCAUACGGGGCCGGACCCGAAAGAAGGUGAACUAUGCCUGUAUAGGGUGAAGCCAGAGGAAACUCUGGUGGAGGCUCGCAGCGGUUCUGACGUGCAAAUCGAUCGUCAAAUAUGGGCAUGGGGGCKAAAG